rnacentral:rRNA from 1 species
AUGGCUUCGCGAAACACCGGGUCGGGAUCAUCAGCUUCUUUGGGCAGUCUAUUUGCUUCUGAUGAUGAAGAAAACAGUGCCCCUUCACUGCCCACAAUAGAAGCUGACCGAGAUACCGUGGAGCUAGAUUCUUUCUCAAAAAGGAGGUCGUAUUUACUGACCAAAAUGAGCUUCUCAAAGCAAGAGGUCGAUUUGGCAGCCAGUGAGUUAGGUGAGGGAGCAUCAAUUGAUCAACUCGUGGAUUGGAUUGUGAGUGCUCAAGAAGCUACAACUGAGGGAAAUGCUGAAUUUCUGCCUGCGCAAAUGGAUAAACCGCAUUCUUUGCUCCAGAUGGGGUUUACUCAACAAGAAGUAUCGUUUGCUAUUGAAGCUUUUGGUCAAGAAGCUGAAGUUGAGGAGCUUGCUGACGCAAUUUUGGCAAGACGCAUUGCGAAUAACAUUGAGCAGAAACAAGAAACUGCUGAAUUGCAGCCUGAGGUAAUGGAUACACCACUUUCUUUGCUCAAGAUGGGUUUCAGUAAAGAAGAGGUCUCAUCUGUGAUUGCUAUUUUUGGCGAGGAAGCAACAGUCGAGGAGUUGGCUGACUCGAUAUUCGCAAGACGCUUCUCAAAUACCACUGAGCAGAAAAAGGUGAAGAUAGAGUCUGAAUUUCCGAACGAGACAGAAACUGGGUAUUCAACAUCGAGAUUGAGGUUCUAUGAUGAUGACGAUGAUGAUGCCAACAUCAGACGUAAAAAGGCCAAGCAUGCAUUUGGAGAUGACAGAAGGGCAUCAAGCAGUCAGAAUGUUAAUCAAUCUAGCCGCACUCCAUGGUUAAGUCGUUGUUCUGGGUCAAUUGCUAAUGGUUCUCUGAAGGAUGAAUGUCUUGAAAGGACGUCAAGCCCUGGUAGAAACAUCCACGGUGACCUUUUCAAACCUCCCUUCUUCCUCUAUGCAAGUCUUGUUGACAUCAGCAAAGACACGUGGAAUCAGCUCUCGAGUUUCCUAUUCAACGUGCAACCGGAGUAUCUAAACAGUCAAUCAUUCUCGGCUCUGAUGCGGAAGGAGGGUUAUAUUCAUAACCUUCCAACGGAGAGAAGGCAUGCUGCGAUUCCAAGGUCACCAAUGACGAUCAGAGAUGCAUUGCCUCUGAUAAGACGGUUCUGGCCCUCAUGGGACACCAGAAAGCAGAUCGAUGGUGUUGCUUUAGGUGUGGUGGGAACUGAACAGAUUUGUGAGAAGGUGGAGAAGGCGGUGAAAGAUUCGCGAGGAAAUCUUUCAGAAGUGAAGCAAGCGCAGAUCAUUCAUCAAUGCAAGAUGGCGAAUCUCAUCUGGACUGGUCAAGACAAGUUAGGCCCUCUGCAGCCACACCAGAUGGAAGUGAUUCUAGGCUAUCCAGCUAGCCAUACGGAUCUGCCGGGCAUAGACCCACAAGACAAGGUUGCUUCCAUGAGGUUUGCCUUGCAAACUGAUACCAUAGCAUACCUUUUGUCGGUCCUAAAGGACCGGUAUCCUGAUGGGCUGAGAGUGAUCUCUAUCUACAGUGCAAUCGGGGGUGCAGAAGUCGCUCUACACCGUCUUGGAAUUCCGCUGAGGUGCGUGGUGUCCGUAGAGGAGUCUGUGGUGAACCGUAGAGUUCUAAAGAUGUGGUGGAGAAAAACCCAGCAGAAUGGAAAGCUAAGACAACUUGAUAGGAUCCAGAAGCUAGAUACCAAGGAGUUUGAGGACCUGAUGAAAGAGUUUGGUGGGUUUGACCUCAUUGUUGGUGGGAACUACGAUGUUUACAGAGGCACAGCGAUGACGGUGGGCACAACCAUGGGAAUGGACAGCAAUCGAUUUUUUGAGUAUGUCCGGGUUGUCCAGAUGGUGAGACGGAUGCAAAAAGUUGUCUGA